rnacentral:rRNA from 1 species
AUUUCGGGGAACUCGGCGUGCUUUACACGUGCAAAACGAACGAUGAAGCUGGAGCUUGCUCCGGUGGAUUAGUGGCGAACGGGUGAGUAACACGUGAGAAAUCUGCCCCUGACUCUGGGAUAACUGCGGGAAACUGUAGCUAAUACCGGAUACUUUCCCUGGUGGGCAUCCACUGGGGAAGAAAGAAUUUCGGUCAGGGAGGAUCUCGCGGCCUAUCAGCUAGUUGGUGAGGUAACGGCUCACCAAGGCGACGACGGGUAACCGGCCUGAGAGGGUGACCGGUCACACUGGGACUGAGACACGGCCCAGACUCCUACGGGAGGCAGCAGUGGGGAAUAUUGCACAAUGGGCGCAAGCCUGAUGCAGCAACGCCGCGUGAGGGAUGAAGGCCUUCGGGUUGUAAACCUCUU